GGCCCGAUAGCUCAGUUGGGAGAGCACUGGACGGAAACUCCAGGGGUCGUAAGUUCAAACCUUACUCGGGCCA
rnacentral:tRNA from 1 species